GGAAUGGUUCUAGAUGGCUAUUGUAACAGCUGAAUUUAAACACCCUGUUGUAAAUAUUACAUACAUGAUAAUUGUAAUACAAUAAAAUUUGUAUAAUUUUCAAAGUGAAAGUAUUCAUAAACAUUCACAAACCAAAUUAAUUAUCCAACAAAUUAGUAAUACCCACAAAAAAAAAAUGUUCUAACCAAAGUUCAUAAGUUUAACAAUUCAAAGUUCCAAAAGGUUCGAUAAAAAAAGAUUCCUUGAAUAUCUAAAGUUUCAGCAACAAUUCCAAAAUCUUCUUAAGUAAGGUCUAGAUCUUCAUCGCUUUCGACUUUCUUUUCAUCAUUUUUUCCACCUAUAAAAGAGGGUAACAAAGUCAUUACCUUCAACAUAUUUCUCAUUUGCAAUAAGAGACAUCCACACAAAAAGAUAAGUCAAGAUUCAAUGAUGCUAGGUUAGGAACACCAACUUUGUACAAGUCAAAAAAUCUCAAUCAUAUUUCAAGUUAGAAAAACCAACAAUAUGAUGCCAAUAGGAACAUACAGAAAACUAACAAUUCUGAAAAAUAAGCAUGAGAAGAAAGUUUUUUGUGUUGUUGUGAUCGUAAGACAAGUUUCUCUAUUUGAUUAUAAAUUACUAUUAUUACGUACUUCGUCUUUCCAAGAAACUUGUAUAUAAAGCAACAGCAACCCAUUUUCAGAACAAGAGAAAAGUUAUUACUACUAAGUACUUAGUAGCUAAACGUUAUUGAGAACAACGUUUCUAAAUGGAGUCCAUAAGAUGGAGAAAACUGAGACUGAGGCUGAGGUUGCAGGGCCAAUACAACUAAAACUAAUGGUUCGCCUUACUGUCAUUUCAUGCCAUCUCCUUCUGGCAAUAAACAUCCAGAUUUCAGUCACAAGAACUGUUGCAGGGCCAAAUAUUUUGUCUCAAGACAAGUUGUGAAUUGGACUUGUAAAAGCGACUCUUGUACUUGGUUCUUUCAGUAAUAUGAUUAGAAAAUUUUAGUUUAGGACAUGAAACUAAUAGUCGUUAGUUGUAUGAAUUUUCUAGUAUGGAUUUAAUUUUAUCAGUUGGAGACUCCAACUUCACAGUCUAUAAGUUUGCUUCAGCAUCGUUCUCCUGGCUAAAGAUUCUGACUAUUUUCCAAAACUUAUCUGAUUUUGGAUGGUAUUUUUGUGUUUACUCUCAUUCUAAACACUGAACUAAUUGAAAUAAUUUAUGCUGCAUCAAGGAUGCAUCUUUAACUAUUCUUUAGACAAGAUGACCAGAAGCAAACAAGUGAUAAGUUAAGCUAUUGAACCAGUGAGCACUUGGUUCUGAGGCUUAAAAAGAUUUUUUGUUCUUACUUAUUAGGAAACAUUAGGAAAUAGAGCUAAACUACGCGAAAAUAUCCGCUUAUUACCACAACAAUAACAACUCAAGUUUGUUAAAUUAAACCUAGAAGUCCAAAAAUCAGAAAGAACAGCAAGAAACAAGCAAAUCAACUUUGACAGUAAUUUUAGAAGAUAAAAACAGAAAACAUGUAUAUGCUAGUAACAGAAAAGUGUAUCAAUUUGCAUAACUUGCUAUAUGAAAAGCAACCUAUGCAAUGAAAAACGAUAUGCUUCGUAGUAAUAAAGUUGGAAGGCAACCACAUAAUUACACAGUGACAAAAGAGAUGGAGGUAAAAUCAAAAAAUAUUAUAAUAACAAGACCAACAUGGACAAGUUAAGAAUGCCAUAACCAGUUGCGUAAUAUUUUGAGUUGCUAGUGGUAGAAGAAGCAGCUGAAGGAAGAAGGAGUAAAAUAGAAAGAGAAGAAGAUAAGUUAGAUAUCCUCCACAUAAAUAAAAUCACCAUAAAUAUACGACUAAAAGAUAAGGCAACAAACUGAGCAUAACACUAACUACCUUGAUUUUUGACUUUAGUAACAGCUCAUUUCUCUCUCCAAUCCAAAGAAGAAGGACUAUCAACAAUACCAAUAUCACUUGAAACUCCAGUAGAAGACGACCCACAUUAAUAACCUAAAAUUAAAGAACUCAAUGUUGCUUACAAAAAGACCUAAGAUUUAAAAAAAAAGAACGAUUAAACAAAAUAUCCAAAUCAGAUAAAAAAAACUUACACAUUCAUUUUGACGGCUUCUCUAAUUCGAGCAUAAAAUUGAUUUUGGAAUUUGGGGAUUUGGGGAUUUGGGGAAGGUUAGCAAUUGUCCUUGAGAUGAAUCUAUAAGGAGUUGAAAGAUAUUAGAAGUUGAAAGAUCUUUAUAUUUCUGGUGUUGGUUUUGGAUUUUAGGAGUGGAAGAGAAGAUUUUGGGGUAAUGAAUAUUUUUAUCUUUGAGAGGCAAAAAGAAAGAGAUAGGUUCUUUGGGUGUAUCGAAUAAUACUGAUCGAUGGGUGGGUUUAUUGGAAAAAGG
rnacentral:lncRNA from 1 species